rnacentral:rRNA from 1 species
CAACCUGCCGAUAACUCCGGGAUAGCCUUUCGAAAGAAAGAUUAAUACCGGAUAGCAUACGAAUAUCGCAUGAUAUUUUUAUUAAAGAAUUUCGGUUAUCGAUGGGGAUGCGUUCCAUUAGUUUGUUGGCGGGGUAACGGCCCACCAAGACAACGAUGGAUAGGGGUUCUGAGAGGAAGGUCCCCCACAUUGGAACUGAGACACGGUCCAAACUCCUACGGGAGGCAGCAGUGAGGAAUAUUGGUCAAUGGGCGAGAGCCUGAACCAGCCAAGUAGCGUGAAGGAUGAAGGCUCUAUGGGUCGUAAACUUCUUUUAUAUGGGAAUAAAGUAUUCCACGUGUGGAGUUUUGUAUGUACCAUAUGAAUAAGGAUCGGCUAACUCCGUGCCAGCAGCCGCGGUAAUACGGAGGAUCCGAGCGUUAUCCGGAUUUAUUGGGUUUAAAGGGAGCGUAGGUGGAUUGUUAAGUCAGUUGUGAAAGUUUGCGGCUCAACCGUAAAAUUGCAGUUGAAACUGGCAGUCUUGAGUACAGUAGAGGUGGGCGGAAUUCGUGGUGUAGCGGUGAAAUGCUUAGAUAUCACGAAGAACUCCGAUUG